UGGUCACAUCACAUUAAAAUACUGGUUCCCGUAUGAUUACAGAAGUUAAGCAACAUUUAACCUGGUUAGUACCUAGAUGGGUGAUCUCUUGAGAAUACCAAGUGCUGUAAG